rnacentral:tmRNA from 1 species
GGGGAUGUUUGUUUCGACGGAAAGAUAGCUCUUUAAAAAAGCCAGCCUCCUUUGAUUAAUAGGAGUAAAACAGAAUCAAAAAACAACUGUCACAAAUUUUAUUUCUGACAAAGUAGAUCAAGCAAAAGGCUUUUUAGCCUCUUUGCUUCCUACUCCAGCUUUAGCUUACGCUUAAACUGGCAUUCUAUUUAGCUUUUUCUAGGGAGCUUUAUAGGGUGAAAACUAACCUAGAAAGCAGUCUUUUUUAAGCCAAAAAAAGAUCAAGUUAAAUGGCAAAAUUAAGAUGAAUUAGGGUUAUCCAUUUCUCUCAUCUUAAAACAAAUGGAUUAAGCUGGUACAACUUUUUUUAAAAAGCCUUUUCGGACAGGAGUUCAUUGCUCCUCAUCUCCACUU